GAUGAACGCUGACAGAAUGCUUAACACAUGCAAGUCUACUUGAACUUCGGGUUUGGGUGGCGGACGGGUGAGUAACGCGUAAAGAACUUGCCUCACAGAUAGGGACAACAUUUGGAAACGAAUGCUAAUACCUGAUAUUAUGAUUUUAGGGCAUCCUAGAAUUAUGAAAGCUAUAUGCACUGUGAGAGAGCUUUGCGUCCCAUUAGCUAGUUGGAGAGGUAACGGCUCACCAAGGCGAUGAUGGGUAGCCGGCCUGAGAGGGUAAUCGGCCACAAAGGGACUGAGACACGGCCCUUACUCCUACGGGAGGCAGCAGUGGGGAAUAUUGGACAAUGGACCAAGAGUCUGAUCCAGCAAUUCUGUGUGCACGAUGAAGUUUUUCGGAAUGUAAAGUGCUUUCAGUUGGGAAGAAAAAAAUGACGGUACCAACAGAAGAAGUGACGGCUAAAUACGUGCCAGCAGCCGCGGUAAUACGUAUGUCACAAGCGUUAUCCGGAUUUAUUGGGCGUAAAGCGCGUCUAGGUGGUUAUGUAAGUCUGAUGUGAAAAUGCAGGGCUCAACUCUGUAUUGCGUUGGAAACUGUGUAACUAGAGUACUGGAGAGGUAAGCGGAACUACAAGUGUAGAGGUGAAAUUUGUAGAUAUUUGUAGGAAUGCCGAUGGGGAAGCCAGCUUACUGGACAGAUACUGACGCUGAAGCGCGAAAGCGUGGGUAGCAAACAGG
rnacentral:rRNA from 1 species